ACUCUAGUAGCUUAUAUUUUAGAGCAUAGCGCUGAAGACGCUAGGGAGACAACUAUUGUCCUGGAGUA
rnacentral:tRNA from 1 species